rnacentral:rRNA from 1 species
GUCCAUUGGAGAUUAUGGGGCAGUGUGACAAGCGGCUGGGUGGUAAGUCACACACGCACACUCCUUUUUUGGAUGUGGUGUUUUCUUUCGUGUGUGGGACUCGUCGCCUUUGUGGGAAAUCCGUGUGGSRCUUGUUUGGUGUUGUUGGCAGACUUCGGUCUUGCCUUCACACACGUUUCACAUGUGUCAUGCCUUCCCUCAACUCACGGCAUCCAGGAAUGAAGGAGGGUAGUUCGGGGGAGAACGUACUGGUGCGUCAGAGGUGAAAUUCUUAGACCGCACCAAGACGAACUACAGCGAAGGCRUUCUUCAAGGAUACCUUCCUCAAUCAAGAACCAAAGUGUGGGGAUCGAAGAUGAUUAGAGACCAUUGUAGUCCUCGUCUCGCCAAUGAAUAUAUUAAAUUUACGUGCAUAUUCUUUUUGGUCUUCGUUUUUUUACGGCGAGGACCUUUAACGGGAAUAUCCUCACCACGU